rnacentral:rRNA from 1 species
UACGUAGGGUGCAAGCGUUGUCCGGAAUUAUUGGGCGUAAAGAGCUCGUAGGCGGUUUGUCGCGUCUGCUGUGAAAACUCGGGGCUUAACCCCGGGCCUGCAGUCGAUACGGGCAGGCUAGAGUCCGGCAGGGGAGACUGGAAUUCCUGGUGUAGCGGUGAAAUGCGCAGAUAUCAGGAGGAACACCGAUGCGAAGGCAGAUCUCUGGGCCGAUACUGACGUGAGGAGCGAAAGCGUGGGGAGCGAACAGG